GUUUCCUUUUUUAGCUCACCUGUCACAAAGUGACAAGGUGAGCUUUUGUGAUCGCGCGGUGUCCGUCGUCCGUCGUCCGUCCGUGCGUCCGUGCGUCCGUGCGUCCGUGCGUCCGUAAACUUUUGCUUGUGACCACUCUAGAGGUCACAUUUUUCAUGGGAUCUUUAUGAAAAUUGGUCAGAAUGUUCAUCUUGAUGAUAUCUAGGUCAAGUUCGAAACUGGGUCACGUGCCAUCAAAAAACUAGGUCAGUAGGUCUAAAAAUAGAAAAACCUUGUGACCUCUCUAGAGGCCAUAUAUUUCACAAGAUCUUCAUGAAAAUUGGUCAGAAUGUUCACCUUGAUGAUAUCUAGGUCAAGUUCGAAACUGGGUCACGUGGGGUCAAAAACUAGGUCAGUAGGUCUAAAAAUAGAAAAACCUUGUGACUCUCUAGAGGCCAUAUUUUUCAUGAGAUCUUCAUGAGUAUUGGUCAGAAUGUUUAUCUUGAUGAUAUCUAGGUCAAGUUCGAAACUGGGUCACGUAGGGUCAAAAACUAGGUCAUUAGGUCUAAAAAUAGAAAAACCUUGUGACCUCUCUAGAGGCCAUAUUUCUCAAUGCAUCGUCAUGAAAAUUGGUCAGAAUGUUCAUCUUGAUGAUAUCUAGGUCAAGUUCGAAACUGGGUCACGUGGGGUUAAAAACUAGGUCAGUAGAUCUAAAAAUAGAAAAACCUUGUGACCUCUCUAGAGGCCAUAUUUUUCAUGAGAUCUUCAUGAAUAUUGGUCAGAAUGUUCACCUUGAUGAUAUCUAGGUCAAGUUCGAAACUGGGUCAUGUGGGAUCAAAAACUAGGUCAGUAGAUCUAAAAAUAGAAAAACCUUGUGACCUCUCUAGUGGCCAUAUUUCUCAAUGGAUCUUCAUGAAAAUUGGUCAGAAUGUUCACCUUGAUGAUAUCUAGGUCAAGUUCGAAACUGGGUCAUGUGCGGUAAAAAACUAGGUCAGUAGGUCUAAAAAUAGGAAAACCUUGUGACCUCUCUAGAGGCGAUAUUUUUCAAUGGAUCUUCAUGAAAAUUGGUCAGAAUGUUUACCUUGAAUAUAUCUAGGUCAAGUUCGAAACUGGGUCACGUGGGGUUAAAAACUAGGUCAGUAGAUCUAAAAAAUAGAAAAACCUUGUGACCUCUCUAGAGGCCAUAUUUUUUCAUGAGAUCUUCAUGAAUAUUGGUCAGAAUGUUCAUCUUGAUGAUAUCUAGGUCAGAUUCGAAACUGGGUCACGUGGGGUCAAAAACUAGGUCAGUAGGUCUAAAAUAGAAAAAACCUUGUGACCUCUCUAGAGGCCAUAUUUAUCAAUGGAUCUUCAUGAAAAUUGGUGAGAAUGUUCAGCUUGAUGAUAUCUAGGUCAGGUUCAUAACUGGGUCAUGUGCGGUCAAAAACUAGGUCAGUAGGUCGAAAAAUAGAAAAACCUUGUGACCCCUCUAGAGGCCAUAUUUUUCACGAGAUCUUCAUGAAAAUUGGUGAGAAUGUUCACCUUGAUGAUAUCUAGGUCAAGUUUAAAAGUGGGUCACGUGCCUUCAAAAACUAGGUCAUUAGGUCAAAUAAUAGAAGAACCUUGUGACCUCUCUAGAGGCCAUAUUUUUCAAUGGAUCUUCAUGAAAAUUGGUCAGAAUUUUUUAUCUUGAUGAUAUCUAGGUCACAUGUGCUCAAAAACUAGGUCACUAUGUCAAAUAAUAGAAAUAACGAUGUCAUACUCAGUUGAACACUGGGUCAUGUGGAGAUAGGUGAGCGAUUCAGGACCAUCAUGGUCCUCUUGUAUAAACUUUGUGCUUGUGCAUUUAGUAAAGAGUGCUACAUAUAAUUGGAGUUUAAGAUGUCCUAAUUGAGAUGAAGAGGAAUCUUGUAAAGUUUCAUUAAUGAUAGUUUUUUUUUUUUUUUUUUACAUAUAAUUAUAUUUAUACAGGGUACAUGUUAAUUUGACCAUUAAAGUACAUGUUUCGAAAUAUCAUUUUUGCUAAAGAAGGUAAAGCUUUGAUUUAAAAAUUAAUUGAAAUUUGAUCAUUUUUGUGAUCCAUAAAGAAAACUAUUUAAGUUAAAAAAGGAACUAAAAGCUAUUGAAACUGGUAACUGUGCAUUUCAGGCACUUUCUCGUUUUCUUAGGAGAUUGGGGGAAGAUAAUGAAAUAAACUGUAACAUAGUAUUAUCUUAUGUAUAUAAACAAAACCUGGUAUUUAUAUCAUUUCAUUCAUUAUAAACAUGUAUUCAUAUUUUACCCAUUUGUAUGUUACUAUGAAUUCAUCGCUAACCAUGAGGUCAUUGUUGUCUGUAUCUAUAUAUAAUCUGUAUUUUAUCUUGAGACAAAAAUGCGUGUCCACAGUGUUGAGAGAGGACAAGUUUACUUACUGGUACUAAGAUUUUUACCAAUUUUAUUUCAUCUCUCAUUUAAGCUAUAUUCCAGCAUAAAACUACUGCUGUUUUCUUUUUUCAAGGGAUGUUUUUAACAUGAAAGUAAAUGUGUGUCAACAAGGCAAUCACAGUGGUGUACAAUACCUUUUUAUGUAUGCACCUUCUGUGGUAAAAUAUUAAAACAUAUGAAAUAAGUUUGAGAGGAAAUUAACAUUUUUACAUGUUUUUUUUUUUUUACAAGAAUGGUGUUAAAACGCAUGAUUGCUUCCACAUAUUUAUAACACACAAAAAAAAACAUGCAUUAUCUGUACAUAAACAUACCGGAUUAUGGAUGAAGUAACUUUUGUUUUGCAUAAUAAAGAAAGACGUGCAGGUAACAAGUAAUAAUUUAAUUGUUUUUUAGUGCACAACAUUGGAAAUGAAAAAGUAUUUGUUCUUGGGACUUACUAGAUCUAGUGUGAGAAAAAGAAAAUAUUCCUAUAGUUUAUCCUGAUAUUACAAGUUUUUUAGACAAUAUUUGUCAGUAUUUACAUUCACCAUGUAUUUUGUAUGGAAAAAUAAAAGAAUUCAUUUUUGUAUAAACAACAAUGGUGUAAUGAAUCAAGGAUGACUCUUUUCGUGAGAUUGCACACACAAUCUGACGUCAUUCACAAAAGACAUCGUACAAAAAAUUAUUUCAAAAUUGGGCACCAAAAUUUCAAAAAGAAUACUAAAUUGUAGCUAAAACUAUGGUAAGUUUUUUGAUGGUACAAGAUCAGAAUUGAACCAAUUUUUAUCUGAAAGUGAAUUGCAAUGGAACAUUGGUGGAUCUUUUUGGCUGUUCUGUUUACAUGUUGAAAAGAUCGAUAUCCUGAUAUUUAUUUUGAUUUUCUGAUACUCGUGCAAAGUAAACCAUUAGUUUUGUAGCAAGCAACAGUGAAAAUGUAAAUAUAAGAGUUGAACAUUGUUUUUGUGUGUUUAAAUGGGUAUAAACCACAGUGGGACUUUAUGCAAAUCAUCCAAGAAUCACUAGUAUGAUUCAUGGACUUGCAAAAGUCCCAGUGUGGUUAAUACUCAUAUAAGCGAACAAAAAAAUAGUAUUAAAUUCAUAAACAAUAAUUUGACCCACCUAACAUUAAUAGAAACAUCUGUCUUCAUGCUUCAUUCCUAGUUUUGAUAUUGGACAUAGAUUUUCAUUUCUUACCCAGGUUUACGUUUUGUUUUCCUUAACUAAAUUCAUAAUUUUUUCUUUUUUCGGGCUAGACCCAAGUAUUGUAUUUGGGAAAGACACUGAUGAGCUAAAGUCAGAAUAUUUUGUACUGUAAAAUUGUAAAUACACUGACCUAGAUUUUUGCAGUGAAUCCUCAUUUCUUAGACUAAAGCUAUGUGCAAUAUGUAUUUAAUCACAGUUAAUUAAUCAUACCACUGUAAGCUCAUUAUACAAGGCUUCCGUACAAACUGAUCGUGUAAAAAUCUGCUUGAUGACAUGUCGUAUUCUUUUAUCGAUGUUGUUUUGAUAUUGUGGUUUUCUGUAAACAUGUUAUCAGCAUAACACUGUCAUUUCAAAACCUUACUACAUAGAUACGCUUGUGUAUGGCAUUCAUUACAGAUGCGUUUGUGUAUGGCAUUCAUUCAUUCAUUCAUUUACUGUAAACUUUUUAUACAUUUAAUAAAAUUGGAGAAUUUGAAA